rnacentral:lncRNA from 1 species
CCAUAUAUAGCUCAGUUAGUUGGCAUGUACUGUCGUACUUGGCAUGUUAAUAUUUAGUAGAUCCAUCCAUUAUAUUGGUAUAUCCUCCAACUGCAGUACGUGCAAUAAGGAAUGAUCAAAAGAGUGAAUGAAUCACGUACAUACUAUUCGUCCAACUGGAAUUGGAACCCAGUGUGCUGUCUCGGCAACAUCGCAUUGUUCCAACUUCCAAGGGAACCCAUCAGCCUCCCAUACGUUGUCACAAAGGAACCCCGUCUCCAUUUGCUCCAUGCCUUCUUUGCUAGCGCCAUCAUCAAAGCCUCAUCGACCCUCGGCAAGUGCACAUGCUACAACCAUGGCCGACACCGCCAGCACUGCUGCACUCGCAUAGAACCUGACCUCGGGCGUUGCUGUAGAGGAAUCAUCCGUUCAUUCUUCUAGCAGUUGUCCCAAGCUGUAGCUAGCUGUGUAUAGAGAUUAAAAGGUUAGAAGAAAUAACGUGAAUGUAAUCUUAACCAAGUAAACAGUCACGUUAAUACUUAUCUAACACCGCCAAGGAUAACUUCACUAAAAAGCAAUCUUUGCAGUGCAACUUGCAAAGACAACUAUCAUCUGUUUUGUUAUAUGGGUUAUAUCACUCAUGUUCAUUUUUGGCAAGAUUCAAAUAUCAGAAAAUAGCUUCAUUCAAAAUUACAGUUCUGAAGAAUUUCCAUGUUAUACAGAUAAUUACUAAUCUCAUAGAUACUCUGUUGCAUUAGCAAAACACAAGUGCACAUUUACUGCCUUCUAGGAUUACAACCGGAGAUUGACACAUUAAAUAAAAUACUUAAAAACGGAUAAUCUCUACAAAAUGCGCACUUCGGCAAGAUGUUACAAAAUGCCUGUCGUUAUAACAAAAGCGAAUGAAGCGGAUAAUUCUACUGAUGAAUUACAAAAUUCCUGCAAUUUGAUGCUCACUUCAACAACAAAUACUUAAAAGCGGAUAAUUAACUAAAAGGUGAAGCAGAAGCAUGAACUGCUAACCGUUACUUGAUGACCUAUCUACACAAUUGAGAGAGUCUGUAUGUAGUAUUAUGCCUAUCAAUAUCACAAAGAUGGAUGUGUACUUUCCUUGCUCCUAGACCAUGAACUAAAUUGUCAUAAUUUUCUUGUCUUCCUCCCUUCGUCCUGCAUGGAACCAAGCAUUACUCAUACUCCAUUUUUACACAACUGAAAUAAAUAAUCAGAUAAAAGUCUGAACAACUUCCCACAAAAUAAAAGGGCAUAUCUAAUGAAACACGUUCAGUCAAAAAAAUGUUCUCACUGGAGAGCACAUCAAUGUAAAAUGAAAAGUAUCAAUCAAGUUCUAAGUUGUACACCGCCAAGGAUAACUUCACUAAAAAGCAAUCUUUGCGGUGCAACUUGCAAAGAGAACUCUCAUCUGUUUUGUUAUAUGGGUUAUAUCACUCAUGUUCAUUUUUGGCAAGAUUCAAAUAUCAGAAAAUAGCUUCAUUCAAAAUUACAGUUGUGAAGAAUUUCCAUGUUAUACAGAGAAUUACUAAUCUCAUAGAUACUCUGUUGCAUUAGCAAAACACAAGUGCACAUUUACUGCCUUCUAGGAUCACAACCGGAGAUAGACACAUUAAAUAAAAUACUUAAAAUCGGAUAAUCUCUAUAAAAUGCUCACUUCGGCAAGAUGUUACAAAAUGCCAGUGCGUUAUAACAAAAGCGAAUGAAGCGGAUAAUUCUACUGAUGAAUUACAAAAUUCCUGCAAUUUGAUGCUCACUUCGGCAACAAAUACUUAAAAGCGGAUAAUUAACUAAAAGGUGAAGCAGAAGCAUGAACUGCUAACCGUUACUUGAUGACCUAUCUACACAAUUGAGAGAGUCUGUAUCUAGUAGAAUGGCCGUGCGUUGCCACGGGCAUUUGAAAUCUUCUACUGAAGUUGUAUAUAUAAUAUAACAUAAUGCAUCUUAAACUUCACAUACAUACCAAAGAUAGCUAGUAAAAAUCGGGUAAUAAUUGAAAUCCACUUCACUUGAAAUGUAAGUUGAUGAAAAAAAUAUAAUUUGAUGAUAUGUACAUAGAAAACCAUGACCGCACUAAUAAUUUGUUACGAAUUAAGAUUUCUACUUGAUGCGCUUAAGAUUUUCUCACACAAUAUCAACAAUGAUUUUUUCAGCUUCAUUCCCAUGAUAAUAAUCAUCCUACAUAAGCAAUAUAUGUAGUUAGCAUGAAUGUUUCACAAGGAAGGUCUAAGAAUGUGCAACGGAGAAUACUCAUCGUGCAAAUCAAAGGAAGCAAGGAGAAUGGAGAAAAUGAUGAGAGAAUAUGAAGGGAUUAAUCCAUGUCUCCUACUCUAGCUCAGCUCACAUGAGAACCACCGCGCCAAGUAGUCCGCGCUGCAACUGCAGUAGCGCCUCAAUCUACAUCCUGGAUCAAGGAGACAAACAAAAUAGAGAAGAGGAGCGGUGGUUCAUCGUGGAUCAAUUGUGUGGUUGCCGGCAACGAGAUUGAAGUUCGCCGGCGACAAGACCUAGCCAAUAGCCCGUUAGUGUUAUAUGUAGGUCACAUGUACAGGAUGUUUCACUUGAGAAAAAUGAUACAAACCGGUAGUUUUCUAGGUGACAAAAAUGGUCCAGCAUCACGACCCUAGGGCCUAUACCAUCCCAUUAGAAUUGAUAUACAUGGUUUACGCAGAGUUGGUUCAGUUUCCUUUUUCUAAUACCUUAAUCGAUAAGAAUACGAUUUCUACUCAGUAUCAACGAGAGAUACAAAUUCCAUUCUGUUGUGCUAUUAAAUAGUCUGCAAAUGGUUAUUUCAAAAAAAAAAACUGCGAACGGCUAAGCCUUUAGAUAGUUACCACGUCCAGCACUACAUCAACACUUUCAGUCAUAUUUGAGGAAAACUUUGCAUCUCAAGCACAUCAAGGAACAGUAAUUAACACACUGUAUCGCACAGAAAUAUAGCACAUCAACCACACAAGCCGGUCUUCAGUCAAAUAUUACUUCAUUCAGUUCAAAAGCAAGUCAAUAAGUAAGGGGUCAAAGAAACCAAAUCUUUUAAUUUACUUUAACAAACUAUAAGUAAAUCACCUUAUGAAGAACAAAUGAUGUGGGAGUUUACAAAGAGAAUCAUACCUGUUGCUCUUCCUUAGCCUGGGACGAAAAAGUAACAACAUGCCUUUCAACGCGACGCCAAAGUUCUCUGUCCCCGCACCCGUGACCUCCCCGGCGACCGGCAUCUGCGUUUCCAGAUUAGCGACGCAAGAUGCGGUCUCCCUGGUGACCGGCGCAACAGCAGUAGCUUGACCGCGCGGACCAUGCCUCGGUCAGGAAUGGCCUCCAAGACAACGCACUUGCAGCCCACUCGAUUUGGUACAACCGGCUUGGAAGAUCAGCAUGCACGAGUUCAUCCGGGAACUCAGCGAACCAGUGUGCCCUCCGUCAGAUGCGUCACCGCCUCCUCCGCGCCACCAACCUCCAGACCCGUCGCCACAACAGCUAGCUGCCGUACAUGACGAGGUCCAGUAGAUUGCCGCGUUCUCCAGUGCUCUCCCUUGCCUAACCCAUGGCCGCGCCUAUCCAAACCACAGCGGUAGAGAGAACGGUAGAGAAAGGGGAUUUUGGUUGUCUCCGUGAUUUGGG